rnacentral:tRNA from 1 species
CGGGAUGUGGCGCAGCUUGGUAGCGCACUCGAAUGGGGUUCGAGGGGUCGCAAGUUCAAAUCUUGUCAUCCCGACCA